GAUGAACGCUGGCGGCGUGCCUAAUACAUGCAAGUCGAGCGAACAGACGAGGAGCUUGCUCCUCUGACGUUAGCGGCGGACGUGUGAGUAACACGUGGAUAACCUACCUAUAAGACUGGGAUAACUUCGGGAAACCGGAGCUAAUACCGGAUAAUAUAUUUCACCGCAUGGUUCAAUAGUGAAAGACGGUUUUGCUGUCACUUAUAGAUGGAUCCGCGCCGCAUUAGCUAGUUGGUAAGGUAACGGCUUACCAAGGCAACGAUGCGUAGCCGACCUGAGAGGGUGAUCGGCCACACUGGAACUGAGACACGGUCCAGACUCCUACGGGAGGCAGCAGUAGGGAAUCUUCCGCAGUGGGCGAAAGCCUGACGGAGCAACGCCGCGUGAGUGAUGAAGGUCUUCGGAUCGUAAAACUCUGUUAUGAGGGAAGAACAAAUGUGUAAGUAACUAUGCACGUCUUGACGGUACCUAAUCAGAAAGCCACGGCUAACUACGUG
rnacentral:rRNA from 1 species